AUGGGUACUCCUAGUCCUACCCCGUACCACCUCCAGUCUCCAAGGACCAUCGUCACCAAGAUCAUCAGCAUGAAGCAGCAGCAGCAGGAGCCGGCGACGCCGGAUCCGCCGCCGCCGUCCAAGAUCAUUCUGCAGCCGAGGCGCCGGACCACCCCGGCGAUGUGGUGCGCCGCCAUCGCUGGUUUCGCCUUCAGCGUCCUCCUCAUCCUCGCCGGCCUCGUCAUCCUCAUCGUCUAUCUCUCGGUGAAGCCGAGGACGCCGUCCUUCGACAUCGCCAACGCCGUCCUCAACACCGUCUACGUCGGCUCGCCGUCGUCCUACUUCAACGGCGACAUGACGCUGGUGGCCAACAUCUCCAACCCCAACCAAAAGAUGGGCGUCGUCAUCCAGUCCGGCACCGUCGAGCUCUUCUUCCGGGGCAGGCUGGUGUCGGUGCAGGCGCUGCCUCCGUUCGCGCAGCCGCGGGGCCACUUCACCGUCCUCAACGUCCACAUGCUGUCCAGCCAGGUGGUGCUGCCGCCGGAGGUGGCUGCGGACCUGCUCAACCAGAUGAGGAGCAACAAGAUCCUCUACACCAUCAGAGGGACCUUCAAGGUCCGGGAAAGGUUCUGGUCAUGGCACUACACCUACCGGUUGACCGCCAUUUGUGACCUCGAGCUCACCUCGCCACCCUCUGGAGUUCUUCUUGAUAGGAGAUGCACAACAUCAAAGUGA
rnacentral:rRNA from 1 species